rnacentral:rRNA from 1 species
UGUGUAGGCGGUCCGCUAAGUCGGGUGUGAAAGCCCUGGGCUCAACCCAGGAAGUGCACUCGAAACUGGCGGGCUAGAGUAUCGGAGAGGUUGGUGGAAUUCUCGGUGUAGAGGUGAAAUUCGUAGAUAUCGAGAGGAACACCGGUGGCGAAGGCGGCCAACUGGACGAAUACUGACGCUGAGACACGAAAGCGUGGGGAGCAAACA